AACUAACAAAACAAUAAAAUUCUAUAUCUAACGGCUCCUUGCCGCGAAACAGGAUUGUGGGGUGGCUACUCUAGGUAGCCGCCUCACAAACGUCUGUAGCAAAACAGACCUACACAACACUAUUCAAAAUUACCCAUAUAAUCGAUAUAAUCAAACAGCCGGCACUAUUAGCAAAUGAACAACACUAACAGCUGUAACAACUAGAAAAUGUAAACAACAAAGGGGAGUAGCUCAAUAUCAAUUACCAAAAAACAUAUUAAUCCACUUUACACUUCCAGAUCGGGUCCCGGUACCGGACCCAGUGUACCCGCCCUACCUGAGACGAUCACCUGAUCUCGUCUCUCUUUUUUUGGCCACUAGAUGGCCUGCAUCAACCCGUGUCGGCUGUCAUGUCCCCUUUCCCCAUCACUUGAUAUUUAGCCGGACAUUGUUUUCCUUCAAUAUGUGCAUAUAAUUGGUUGCGUUUCUUAUAGUUAUUUACAAUCAAUAUCUCUUAUUUCAUUUAUCUUCACAGGAUAUUUCCAAACUUCUAUUUAUGGUUUCAUGCAAGUGGACACUUCUUUUCAACUUCAACAAUGGCGUAAAUUUAUUUGCAUCAUCUCAUACUCAUAUCUCAACGUUCAUUAUAUAAUGUCAUGCUAAUGGACAUCUUUCUCACUUCAACAGCUGAACAACACAAAGAAAGGACGUCACCGUUGGGAACAACGUGGGACAACAAAUGUUAUAAAUAUUAAAUUGAGCGAUUGGCUCCCCACACGUUCGCGCACGUAUACAUAUAUGUGCCACCACGCUGGAAAAAAAUGAUGGCAGGUAAUAGCUAUAGAUUGCAUAUAUGAGCGGGUCUCAAAUAUGAGUCUGCUUCUGCCUUUGCCUGUUGAUCGGGGCGAGGCUGGGCGUUAUGGAACGGACUCAUUCGGAUGAUGUGGGCGUGAUCUCGCCCGUGGCCGCUUCUUGGCCUGUCCUUCUGGAUAGCGUCAGUAACACGUACGCCGAGGGUAUGGCUGAGGUGCGCCGCUGAGCCGAAACUUGGACUAGGGGUUAAACUGUUAGUCCUCUCUGGUCCGAGAGCUGGUCCCUUUGUUGCCGGAACCGUGGGUCGUU